UACGUAGGGACCAAGCGUUGUUCGGAUUUACUGGGCGUAAAGGGCGCGUAGGCGGCUUGUCAAGUCACUUGUGAAAUCUCUGGGCUUAACCCAGAACGGCCAAGUGAAGCUGACAUGCUAGAGUGCAGAAGGGGCAAUCGGAAUUCUUGGUGUAGCGGUGAAAUGCGUAGAUAUCAAGAGGAACACCUGAGGUGAAGACGGGUUGCUGGGCUGACACUGACGCUGAGGCGCGAAAGCCAGGGGAGCAAACGGG
rnacentral:rRNA from 1 species